UCGGGAGUCGCCAAGUGGUAAGGCAACGGACUCUGAAUCCGUCAUUCGUAGGUUCGACCCCUACCUCCCGAG
rnacentral:tRNA from 1 species